UAAGAAAUAUUAAAAAUUGAACUUCUAAUUCAAUAUAAAAUAAUUUAAUUAUUUAUAUUUCUAAG
rnacentral:tRNA from 1 species